rnacentral:rRNA from 1 species
GACGAACGCUGGCGGCGUGCUUAACACAUGCAAGUCGAACGGAAAGGCCUCUUUCGGGGGGUACUCGAGUGGCGAACGGGUGAGUAACACGUGAGUAACCUGCCCUUGACUUUGGGAUAACUUCAGGAAACUGGGGCUAAUACCGGAUAGGAGCUCCUGCUGCAUGGUGAGGGUUGGAAAGUUUCGGCGGUUGGGGAUGGACUCGCGGCUUAUCAGCUUGUUGGUGGGGUAGUGGCUUACCAAGGCUUUGACGGGUAGCCGGCCUGAGAGGGUGACCGGCCACAUUGGGACUGAGAUACGGCCCAGACUCCUACGGGAGGCAGCAGUGGGGAAUAUUGCACAAUGGGUGGAAGCCUGAUGCAGCAACGCCGUGUGCGGGAUGACGGCCUUCGGGUUGUAAACCGCUUUCGCUCAUGACGAAGCUUUGUGUGACGGUAGUGGGUAAAGAAGCACCGGCUAACUACGU